CUGAUUAUGAAAGGAGCACUGUGCCGUAGAACUGAGGAAAGCACAGGCUCUGCUAGAGAUGUUAAGUAUUCUCUCUCCCUGAAAGCUGGUUCUUCUGAAAUCGAAAUAUUCAGGGGGGAAGGAAAAGAGGCACAGGGCAUCUGAAUUCCAAAGGACUAGGGAAGCCACCACUUCCCGGAUAACUGCACUCCCUCCACCUUACACCUAAAACAAGGUUGAAGAGUCCUGUCAGGGCCAUCUCAAAAGGAGAAGCAAAGCCUGCAGAGGAGGCCAGCCUGAGUCCUGGGAUGCGAACGGGUGCUGGGCUCAGCAUGAGGAGGAGGAGACCCUGGCCACAGUUCCAUGAAUCUUUGCUCCCUUCCACAUUAUGGAUUCUGGUGAGUGCCUGCCAGAGGAAUGUCUGACAGCUCUACCCUCAACUGGAUCAUCUUUAGCCCAAAUUACAAUAAUUUAAGUGAAUCAAAUUACUAUAAAAAGAUACUUCAUUAUUAAUUCACUGAACAUUUACUGAGGGCCUACUAUAUGCCAGGCAAUGCUCUGAACUUGCCCUACCUAUUGGAUGCUACGUGCUAAAUGUUAUAGACAAUGUACUCUUGUACAUUCUAUAAAUUAUAUAGGAUAUAAUGAGUACUAUAUUCUCUAUGCUUUACAUGCUAUAUUAAACAUCACACCCUAUAGUCUACAUACAAUGGAUAAUAUACAAAAUAUAUUAUAUAUGUAUUAUGUCUACUAGAACAGUCUUUUGCCACAAUAGGAAUUUAGUAAAUAUACAUCGAAUGAAUGAAUGAAUGAAUAUGAUACUUAAUACCAUAUUCUAGCAGAGCUUGGUCAUUGAAGAGUUAUUCUUCCAAACCCUUCCCUUUCCUACCCACCUCUUGAAGGCUAAGAAGAUUUUCAUCUUUCACCACCUGUUCUGGAUUCUUGGAACAGGUAAAUUCAUUGGCCUACCCAAGUCUGAGCUCUAGGUCUGAACCCGCAUGGACCUGAGGGUGCACCGGGAAAAGAAAGGCUGACAACUGGAUCCCGGGAAUGUCAAGGCCACCCUGGGCUUGGAGGGACCGGCCAUGCCUCCAAGCCCCGCCCAGAGAGGGGGUUCAGGAUGCUGUGUUGUUCCAGGUGAUCUAUUGCUUUCUGGAGUUUAAAGUUCAGAGGAUCAUGAAGUACCACAGCUGGAAGGGGUGUAAGUGACACUGACUAGCCUAACUCUCUUAAAAAUCAUAGCCCUACUCCUGCCUCCCCAAAUCGGAUACGACAGGCAUAGGCUGUGACUGUUCCUUAAAUCUUAGUGGCAAUACUCUCUGACCAGUUUUGCGGGGUGCUCCCAGUUUCAUUGCUUUUGUAACAGGUGGCCAGAAAGCUUGGGGUCCCGUGAUAAGAGUUUCAGUUCUUUCCAGGAUGGAUGGAAAGAAGGAAGGAAGGAUGGAUGGAUGAAUGAAUGAGUGGGUGAGCGGAUGGAUGGAUGGAUGGAUGGAUGGAUGGAUGGACGGAUGAAAAGAUGGGCCAGAGACUGGGAACGGUAAUGCCGGCCAGACGGGUCCGAGCCCCUCGGGAGCCCCAGCCCUCCUCCGGCUGCGGGGCCGCUGCUCCUGCUCCCGGGCCGUCACGGAGCCCUGAGGGAGGGGGCGGGCGAGCGGGGGCCCUGGGGCGGCCAGGGCGCUGGGAGGGAGUACUGGGCUGUGGGGACCGGAGGGGAGGGAGGGCCUUGGAGGCGGAGAGGAGGGACGGGCGGGGAGAGGGCCCGGACGAGGGGCGGCGGGCACCGCAGGAGCUCCGCGCGGCUGCAGCGCGGGCGGGAGCGGGGACGCGAUGUCGCCGCCGCCGCCUCCUUGCGGGCCGGGGCUGCGCCUCCGGGGCUGAGCCGCCGCCAGAGCCGACAGCCGAGCAGCCGCCGGGCGCUCCCGCGGCGCAGGAGGAUGGGCUGCGGCGGAAGCCGGGCGGAUGCCAUCGAGCCCCGCUACUACGAGAGCUGGACCCGGGAGACAGAAUCCACCUGGCUCACCUACACCGACUCGGACGCGCCGCCCAGCGCCGCCGCCCCGGACAGCGGCCCCGAAGCGGGCGGCCUGCACUCGGCCCAUUACCCUCUUGCCUUUGCACUUGCCUGGAGACACAGCAGUUUAGGGGCUCUGCUGGUUCAAGAAGGACUGUGCAGGUAGCAUGGCCACACACCAUGUACAGGCGUGCUGGAAGAUGGACUGCCCUCCAAUGGUGUGCCCCGAUCUACAGCCCCAGGUGGAAUACCCAACCCAGAGAAGAAGACGAACUGUGAGACCCAGUGCCCAAAUCCACAGAGCCUCAGCUCAGGCCCUCUGACCCAGAAACAGAAUGGCCUUCAGACCACAGAGCAAGUCCUCUUCUGAAUCCUCAUUGCCAAAUAUCUGCAUGUUGUUAUGGAGCUGUCUCAGCACGGGGUCUUUGACGCCUGUAUCCUCACACCCUUAGAAGAUCCUGAGAAAGGAAGAUAACGUGAGAAACUUCAAUGUCUUCCUGCCAUAAGCAAUGUCUUCCUGCAAUCAGCUUCCAACUGUAUGCAUCCAAAGGUGGUAGAAUUUGUUAGCUCUUUUUUCCUUCUCAGCAAAUUUUAGUUACAAGCUGGAGCAUAAUUUUCUUACCUUUUAUGAAGUCCUUCAGAACUAUAGGUGUUGAAACAAAGUGCUGAAGAUAUUCUUCAUUGGAAAACAAUUUCUAACCCACUCCAGUUUCAAGAGGAGCCCUGGGAAACACACAAAGACUGAAAAUUCCCUUAUUCACCUGCCAAUUUCUCCAUUUACUAAGGAGGUAACCUGGAGAAAAUGGUUUGAGUCUUUGUGCUCAGUUCCUACUCGGAAUUCAAGUUGGAGAGAACAAUGUUGAUUACAUUUCUAGCAGCAGCAAAUACAAUGGGAAGUAAAGCUCUUUUGUGCUGAUGUGAGAAUGAAGGUGCCACAGCCAUUUUGCAACCAUAAGGGAACAAGCAUGAAGACAGAGGCCUCCAUGCUAAGGAUAUCAAAGCAGAAAUACAGAAAGAGCCUGGACCCAGAAAACAUCCAUGAAUAGCUGCAUUGGCCAUGGAUGGCCUGACCCUGGACUUAUUAUAUCAGAAAAAUAAUCCCCUAAGUAAUUCUGAUAGAUUUUUUCGUUCUUGGAGCCAAACACGUUUCAAAUUGAUGCACUUCAUUUUAUGAAUAAGGAAACUAAAGCUCAGUGAGUUUGGGUAAUUUCUCCAAAGUCCUGUGGCCAGUAGAUGCUAGAAACAGGAUUUGUACCCACAUCUGCCCAGCACCAACACACAUGCUCUUACUCACAAGAGCACUGAAGUGCCCUCCCAUCACUGUAUCUGCAUCAGUUCACCACGUCUCAUCCUUCCCAAACCAUGUGUCACAGAACUCAGAUAUUAUUCAUAGAUAUGCCUCAGCAGAAAUGUUUUGGUGGUAAGUUAAGUUCUAAGAACACAGAGUUUUGUAUUCCCUUUUUGUAGAGAACCACAAAGCAUAUCAAAACGUCAGUUUCCAAAAAAAACCAAAAAACCUAUUAUUAAGAAACCUGCUUGACUUUGAUUAAUUCAGUGGUUCCCAAACUUAUUUGAGUACAGAACACAUUUUUUUAAAUGACUUUCCUAUAAAUAUCUUCCAGAACAUUGUUCCCUUGAACGCCAAUUUGGGAGAUCACUCACUGAAUUUUAAGCAUUAUUUCCUCAGCUUUGGUUUAAAGUAAAAGGAAAGUGAGUCACAAUUUUGUCCAUUCUGCACCUCCUGGUCCCCUAUGAAGUCCCAAAGGAUAAAUUUCUUUGAGAAUCUGGUGCUCAGGGCAAAAUAUGUACCUCCUGAGGAAGUUAUUUGCUUCCUUUUUAAAAAUAAAAGUAUGUGACUUACAGAGCUUCUCCUUUUGUUUUGGCUUUCUGGAGGCUGAGACAAAUGGGAAGCAAUUAUCAGCUCAGGUUCCUGGGUUUUACGGAUUUGUUGUUGUUGUUUUUUAAUCUGAUCUUGAUUUUUCCUCUUGAUCUUCCCUGUCUUAAUUCUGUAUUUGAGUUUUAUUUGGCAUUAUUGUAUAUGUUCUUGUGAAUGACAUUAUGUUUGUGGAAUAGAGUGGAGUACAAAUUCGUUAAAUAAAAAUCAAGACUGACCUGAGGCUGGGCGCAGUGGCUCAUGCCUGUAAUCCCAGCACUUUGGAGGCUGAUGUGGGUGGACCACAAGCUCAGGAGUUCGAGACCAGCCUGGCCAAUAUGGUGAAAUCUCAUCUCUACUAAAAAUACAAAAAUUAGCUAGGUGUGGUGGUGGGCACCUGUAGUCCCAGCUACUCCGGAGGCUGAGGCAAGAGAAUCGCUUGAAAGCAGGAGGCGGAGGUUGCAGUGAGCCAAGAUCGUGCCACUGCACUCCAGCCUGGGUGACAGAGUGAGAUUCUGUCUCAAAAAAAAAAAAGACUGACCUGAAAAAUACAAGUCAUAGGCCCUGUUUGUCAACAUGAUUGUACUGAUAGUAUCUGAUCGAAGAAUCGGUGUAGUUUUUAAUAACUGAUACUAUAAAACUUGAAAUUACAGCUUAUGAAUAUCUAAUGAGAGGAAGGAAUAGAUUUUCAAAUGGGGAUAUAUUCUUGGAGAUAGAACAUAAAUGUCUUUGCUGAAUUUUUAUUGAAAUUAAUUAUACUUUUCUAGAUUGCCAAGCUAAAUCAAUAUCUAUACCAUCAAAUUCAGUAACCAAAUUAAUCACAACCUUGCAAAAAUAAAAUAAAAUUAAGAAAGACAUGCCCUGUGAUACAUACCUAUUUCAGGAAACCUAGUUAACCAUGGUUGAAUAGCCAUCACUUCCUUAAGAAGGAAUACAAUUUGCUAUAAUUGUCAACACAGAGGAGCAGUAAGUUAUUUGUGAAGUUGGUGACUUGUGCCAUUUAUUGAAGAGUCAACCCAACAAGCCCCAGAUCAAUAAACAAAUGUCAACUAAGGGACAUACUGUGAAAUACAGUAGGCAAUACAAAGAAAUAUGAUCUCGCGGCUGCUAUGAGAGAA